rnacentral:rRNA from 1 species
UCGCGCAAUUGGAGCGGCUGAUAUCAGAUUAGCUUGUUGGUGAGGUAAGCUCACCAAGGCGACGAUCUGUAGCUGGUUUGAGAGAACGACCAGCCACACUGGGACAGACACGGCCCAGACUCCUACGGGAGGCAGCAGUGGGGAAUUUUGGACAAUGGGCGAACCUGAUCCAGCAAUGCCGCGUGCAGGAAGAAGGCCUUCGGGUUGUAAACUGCUUUUGUGGAACGAAACGGUUUGCCCUAAUACGGCGGGCUAAUGACGGUACCGUAAGAAUAAGCAGGCUAACUACGUGCCAGCAGCCGCGGUAAUACGUAGGGUGCGAGCGUUAAUCGGAAUUUGGGCGUAAAGCGUGCGCAGGCGGUUAUGUAAGACAGUUGUGAAAUCCCCGGGCUCAAUGGGAAUUGCAUCUGUGACUGCAUAGCUAGAGUACGGUAGAGGGGGAUGGAAUUCCGC